rnacentral:tRNA from 1 species
CCACCGAUAGCUCAGCGGUAGAGCGGAGGACUGUAGAGGUUUACAUAGAUAUCCUUAGGUCGCUGGUUCGAAUCCGGCUCGGUGGA